rnacentral:rRNA from 1 species
UAAUACGGAGGAUCCGAGCGUUAUCCGGAUUUAUUGGGUUUAAAGGGAGCGUAGAUGGAUGUUUAAGUCAGUUGUGAAAGUUUGCGGCUCAACCGUAAAAUUGCAGUUGAUACUGGAUAUCUUGAGUGCAGUUGAGGCAGGCGGAAUUCGUGGUGUAGCGGUGAAAUGCUUAGAUAUCACGAAGAACUCCGAUUGCGAAGGCAGCCUGCUAAGCUGCAACUGACAUUGAGGCUCGAAAGUGUGGGUAUCAAACAGGAUUAGAUACCCUGGUAGUCCACACGGUAAACGAUGAAUACUCGCUGUUUGCGAUAUACGGCAAGCGGCCAAGCGAAAGCGUUAAGUAUUCCACCUGGGGAGUACGCCGGCAACGGUGAAACUCAAAGGAAUUGACGGGGGCCCGCACAAGCGGAGGAACAUGUGGUUUAAUUCGAUGAUACGCGAGGAACCUUACCCGGGCUUAAAUUGCAGAUGAAUUACGGUGAAAGCCGUAAGCCGCAAGGCAUCUGUGAAGGUGCUGCAUGGUUGUCGUCAGCUCGUGCCGUGAGGUGUCGGCUUAAGUGCCAUAACGAGCGCAACCCUUGUUGUCAGUUACUAACAGGUUCCGCUGAGGACUCUGACAAGACUGCCAUCGUAAGAUGUGAGGAAGGUGGGGAUGACGUCAAAUCAGCACGGCCCUUACGUCCGGGGCUACACACGUGUUACAAUGGGGGGUACAGAGGGCCGCUACCACGCGAGUGGAUGCCAAUCCCCAAAACCUCUCUCAGUUCGGACUGGAGUCUGCAACCCGACUCCACGAAGCUGGAUUCGCUAGUAAUCGCGCAUCAGCCACGGCGCGGUGAAUACGUUCCCGGGCCUUGUACACACCGCCCGUCAAGCCAUGGGAGCCGGGGGUACCUGAAGUGCGUAACCGCGAGGAGCGCCCUAGGGUAAAACUGGUGACUGGGGCUAAGUCGUAACAAGGUAGCCGUACCGGAAGGUGCGGCUG